UACGAAGGGGGGCUAGCGUUGCUCGGAAUCACUGGGCGUAAAGCGCACGUAGGCGGAUUGUUAAGUCAGGGGUGAAAUCCUGGAGCUCAACUCCAGAACUGCCUUUGAUACUGGCGAUCUUGAGUCCGGGAGAGGUGAGUGGAACUGCGAGUGUAGAGGUGAAAUUCGUAGAUAUUCGCAAGAACACCAGUGGCGAAGGCGGCUCACUGGCCCGGUACUGACGCUGGAGGUGCGAAAGCGUGGGGAGCAAACAGG
rnacentral:rRNA from 1 species